rnacentral:rRNA from 1 species
UACGUAGGGUGCGAGCGUUGUCCGGAAUUAUUGGGCGUAAAGGGCUCGUAGGCGGUUUGUCGCGUCGGGAGUGAAAUCCACUGGCUUAACUGGUGGCUUGCUUUCGAUACGGGCAGACUGGAGGUAUGCAGGGGAGAACGGAAUUCCUGGUGUAGCGGUGAAAUGCGCAGAUAUCAGGAGGAACACCGGUGGCGAAGGCGGCCUUCUGGACGGAUACUGACGCUGAGGCGCGAAAGCCAGGGGAGCAAACGGG